GAAAAAGUGAAGAAAUCGAAGGAGAUAUAAAAAUUUUCAUAGCAAAUCUUAAAAUUCUUGUCUUGUGCAAUCCCAGACUGGAUUAAGAGUAAGGAAUUAAGUUGCCCCCCAGGGCACUUCUCCACUGGCAAAGGACGGACGCUGUCAAACCUGACAGAGCAGAGGUCGUGAGUUCGAAACAUGGGGCUCUUGGAAGGCAAUGAUUUAUUCUUGGAAGGCAAGGAUUUAUUCUUGGAAGGCAAGUGGGAACUUUGAAGGCAAGGAUUAUUCUUGGAAGGCAAGGUGCAACUUGGAUUGGUUUGCUUGGCACUUUGUCAGACCAGGUGGGGAGCGCUCGGACCCUGGUCAGUUGGAGGCACAUCCUGCGAUUAACCGGACUGUGUGAAGAGGGGCCGGAUCACAGAC
rnacentral:lncRNA from 1 species